GUCACUCGCUCCCAGCACCCAUCGAUGUUGCCCGUGCGGAGUGACCAGCCCCAGUCAUCGCGAUCACAGGAUCAAGGACGGUGCAUCUGAUGACUACGUUGCCUGUAGGUGAGCAGACCCACCAGGCUGUGCUUCCUCAGCAGCCUGCUCUGGA
rnacentral:sRNA from 23 species